UCCAUGUUGGUGUAUGGGAGCAGUUCACGUAUAUCAAAUGAUCAGAAGAAAUCUAGAGGGAUAGCUGGGCGAGAGAGGAAGUCUGUGUCGUCUGAGAAGAGACAUUUAACAUCUGAAUAUAUGCCUAGCAAUUCAAAGGCAAAAAGAAGGAAAAAAGAAUUAUCACAAAGCAGUCGUAACAAGAUCUCUUUACCAUCUCAUAAAGCUGCAAGGCG
rnacentral:misc_RNA from 1 species